rnacentral:rRNA from 1 species
AACGAACGCUGGCGGCAUGCCUAACACAUGCAAGUCGAACGAGACCUUCGGGUCUAGUGGCGCACGGGUGCGUAACGCGUGGGAAUCUGCCCUUCGGUUGGGAAUAACUGAGAGAAAUUUCAGCUAAUACCUUAUAAUGUCUUCGGACCAAAGAUUUAUCGCCGAGGGAUGAGCCCGCGUAGGAUUAGGUAGUUGGUGGGGUAAUGGCCUACCAAGCCGACGAUCCUUAGCUGGUCUGAGAGGGUGAUCAGCCACACUGGGACUGAGACACGGCCCAGACUCCUACGGGAGGCAGCAGUGGGGAAUAUUGGACAAUGGGCGAAAGCCUGAUCCAGCAAUGCCGCGUGAGUGAUGAAGGCCUUAGGGUUGUAAAGCUCUUUUACCCGGGAUGAUAAUGACAGUACCGGGAGAAUAAGCUCCGGCUAACUCCGUG